CGGAAUACUUUUAGGGACAACCUGGUAUGGCUCAGAUGAUCUCCAAGGACGGAAGGCGAUCUGACGAAGAAAAUUUUUGUACUUUUUAAUGGGAAGUGAGUACGCUAGGCUGGGACAUAUGCUCCUUUUUAACCUUUAGAUUCCUGCUCAUUCUUCUUCUUCUUCUUUAUCCUCUUGUCGUGUUCUCUCCCUGUACUCGCUCCAUCAUCCAAUUGUUCAAUAAUUCGGUCAUUCCGAUAUAUCUCUAUAUAAAUCAAGAAAUAUCAUUUCGCCGAAAUCGAUUUCUCUUCGAUACGUCAACAGUGAAUUCUUCACGAUUUUUCCAGGGCACUGUAUGAUUCUUACUUGUUAUAACCCGAGCUCUGUUUCUUGGUCAGCGUCGGUGCUAAUGCUCUGCUUAUUUCGUAUAAUUAUUGACUUAUCUUUUAUUUUUAUUCUUCUAAAAUGAUAUGGGUCGUCGAGAAGCUUGCACUUCCACUGACGUCUCGAUUUAAAUACGUUGUUUUCAGUGGAGUCCCACCGUUAGUUGGUUGAUGUGCUUUAAUGGAGCAAUUUCAUGUCUACUAGUGGCUGGCGCUAUCACCACUAUUGAUUAUAAUAAUUAAGGUGGGUGUUAUAUUAUUUUCGGAUGCAUGGGGAUGUUUAUUGAGGACGGCCGUCGUGAUAUUACCCACAAAAAAAAAAAAAAAAAAAAUAGCCUCGGUUUAUAGGAAUUUAUAAUUUGCAUGCGGAAGUUUCGCUGGAGCGAAUGAUUCUCAUUCAUUGUAUGGGUUGAGUGGUUGGCAGUUUUAGUUCGAAUCCCUCUUUUGAUCACCAAAAUCCUUGAAUAGGUUCGAGCUCAAUUUGAGUUUUCUCAGAGUUGACUACUUAAUUAUAGAAAAAUAGAGACUUGAAGAUGGUAUAUCGGAAGUCCAAAAUAAUAUUAAUCGUUGUACACAGAAUCUCGAAUUUCCCUUUUCAAAUUAAGUCGUUGAUGAAUUAUCGUCCCGUUGCAUCAUAACGGUUAUGUCAAAAGGCGACAAAUUGAUUCGAUUGACGUAUAAUCGUAUCACACGAAUAAAAUAAAUAAGUUAUGACAUUUUUGAAAAACGUCAUAAUUUCAGGAGUUUUGAAAAAUUUCGAUACGGAUUGAAAAUAUCUCAAAUCAAACAAAGUUGAAGCACUUUUUAUGCAAACUCCAGCAUUUUAAUCAAACCCAAAAUUGACAGGCCAACCACAGCAUCUGUUCCCUUCCAGCAUAUGCAUGACAUGUAUGUGCACCAAGGAAUGGAGCCAAAUUUCCAUAUUUCCCUUUUGUCCUUUUCCUCUUCUUCUUUUUUGAUCUCAUGGCAAAGAAUAUGAAAAGGAGAGAGAGAAAGUAGGCUUUAAGAAUCCCCAAAUGCGCACUGAAUGAAGAAAGCACAUGGGUAUGGCAUCCACGAAGCCAACCGAGCAGGUUCAGAUGUUCGUUCGUUCAGUACACGAGAUCAACCUUGGUUUCACCAAACCUUUAGCCGCCAGUGGGCCCCCCUCGCCACCUCGUGGGCGCUCGCCGUUGGAAUCGGCCACGCGCGGUGGGGCCAAUUUCUACCGACGACGGAGGGGAUAGGUCUUGGGUCGAUUUCGGUGGCUCUUUUGUCUUGGCUCUCUUCAUGCGAUGCGACGCCGUUUGUCGGUGGGUGAUCUUUGGGUACGCCUUUACUUUACAUGUGUUCUUCUACCUUUUCGUAUCUUGUACUUUUGGACGGAUACUUAAUAUAGAAGUGGGUCCCGCGGAGGAUGUUGAGAGGAAUUGAGGUUAGUGGUGAUGGUUAGGGCAUUGAUGAUGUUAGGUAGAUGUCUGUUUGUUGAGUUAUUCAUUUCAUUGUGAUGAUAUUAGGUAGACGUCUGUUUGUUGAGUUAUUUAUACAUCUUUUGUGUAUUUGCGUCUCUCUAGUGUUUUUUUUCUAAACGAUCUUUUCAUUUCCUUCUUGAGUGCUACACAACUAUGUUGGUACGAGAGCUACAAGCCUUUGCCGUC